rnacentral:rRNA from 1 species
AAUCAACGCUGGCGGCGUGCCUAACACAUGCAAGUCGAGCGGGAUCCAACCGGUGGCAACACCGGGAGAUCUAGCGGCGAACGGGUGAGUAACACGUGAGCAACCUGCCCCGAACGACUGGGAGUAACACCGGGAAACCGGGUAGCUAAUACCGGAUGUCGUCAUUAGGCCGCAUGACCUGAUGAUGAAAGGAAUUCAUCGCUUCGGGAGGGGCUCGCGGCUAUCAGCUUGUUGGUGGGGUAACGGCCUACCAAGGCGACGACGGCUAGCUGGUCUGAGAGGACGACCAGCCACACUGGGACUGAGACACGGCCCAGACUCCUACGGGAGGCAGCAGUGGGGAAUCUUGCGCAAUGGGCGAAAGCCUGACGCAGCAACGCCGCGUGGGGGAUGAAUGCCUUC